rnacentral:rRNA from 1 species
GAUGAACGCUGGCGGCGUGCCUAAUACAUGCAAGUCGAACGAUCAGAUGAGUUGCUUUCUCCUGUGAGUUUAUCGGCGGACGGCUGAGUAACAAGUCGUUAACCUCCCUAUACGACUUGGUUAACAUCCGCAAACCAGUGCUACUACCGGGUAAUAUUUUGAGCCGCUUGCUUCAAUAGUCUAGGAAGGUUUUUGUUUCACUUAUGGAUGGGUCCGCGGCGCAUUAGCUUGUUGGUAAGGUAAUGGCUUACCAAGGCGACGAUGCGUAGCCGACCUGAGAGGGGGGUCGGCGACACUGCAACGGAGAAAAGGGCCAGAAGCCUACGAGGGGCAGCAGUAGGGGAUCUUCCGGAAUGGGGGAAAGCCGGACGGAGCAACGCCGCGGGAUGGAUGAAGGUCGUCGGAGCGUAGUACUCUGUUAUUAGGGAAGAAGAAAGGUGUAAGUGACUGUGCACGUCUUGACGGUACCUAAUUAGAAAGCCACGGCUAACUACGUG